GAUGAAGAACGCAGCGAAAUGCGAUAAGUAGUGUGAAUUGCAGAAUUCAGUGAAUCAUCGAGUCUUUGAACGCACAUUGCGCCCCCUGGUAUUCCGGGGGGCAUGCCUGUCCGAGCGUCAUUGCUGCCCUCAAGCCCGGCUUGUGUGUUGGGCCCCGUCCCCCUCUCCGGGGGACGGGCCCGAAAGGCAGCGGCGGCACCGAGUCCGGUCCUCGAGCGUAUGGGGCUUUGUCACCCGCUCUGUAGGCCCGGCCGGCGCCAGCCGACAACCCAUCAUCCUUUUCAGGUUGACCUCGGAUCAGGUAGGGAUACCCGCUGAACUUAAGCAUAUCAAUAAGCGGAGGA
rnacentral:misc_RNA from 1 species